CUGAACAUAAUAUAAUAACAGUUUUUAACAAGGAUAAUAAAAUAAAACCACAAAGUACAAUUAUUAAAAAGUUAAAAUUCUAAGAAAUUAUACUUAAAGACUUACUCAAUUAUUUAUAUUUUUUCACUCAUUAAAAAUCUUUUCGGCAAGAUUGUUUCUAAAAAUUGUCCACUCAUUCGAACUGCUAAUAGUUGUGAUAGUGCCUUCCAUUGGUUCAUUUUUCGCCCCAACUCAAAUGGAUCAUUGGGCAUUUGAGUUGGGGCUUGAUGAUUGCCAGCACUUCAGUAGUUAAAUUAGAAGCUGUUUCUUUGCGCAGUACUUGGCAAGAGAUGCCUAACAGCUGAAAAAUUUUCACUGUUAAAGCAAAGUACAGAGAAUUUAUAUGAAGAAAUACUAAAGUCGAACAUUCUUCUAGCUCUUCUUACCCUAUAGUGUGGGGCUUACAUAUCCCACAACUACAACCACGGCUGCUCGACUUUUUACCUCCCUGUCCAGAACUUUUCGGAUUAAGCAUCCUUUUAAGACCUCUCCAAUAAGAUCUAC
rnacentral:lncRNA from 1 species